GGAAAUUUGGCAGGAACUUCUGGUGGACACCGAAAUUCUUUGCCUGAAAACCUUUUAAAAAUAUGAAAACAAGACAAAAAAUGGCUGGGUUUUCUUUUAGAGUGGCAAUGUCAUUUGUCCAGAAGGGGGAGCUCUCAGUCCGCAUGCAGCGGAGCAAGGCAGACAGUCUGGUAUCUUAUCUGCUGCUUGGGAAAUUGUCUGACAGGAAAAUAUCAACACAAACCAUGCGAUUUGCCGCUGGAGCACGCUGGACCUCAUCUGCUUAAAAAGAUGCACGGAUAUAGUCAUCACAGUUCAUAAUUUAAUAAACUGCUAAAAAAACCACAC
rnacentral:lncRNA from 1 species